UUUUUUUGCCCGUAUGUAUGA
rnacentral:piRNA from 1 species